ensembl:lncRNA
AUACAACUUAAACAUCACUGCCCAAACGUGCAAUUCCACUUCCUUUAAACCUUUGACACAGCACAGAUUUAAAAAAUAUUUUUACUUCAACGUUCUGAUUAUUUGCUCUCAGGUAUAAACCCUUUUUAUUUUUUCGUACAUGACUUCAGAAGAGGGAUUUUGUGAACUCUUAAGUCAUCCUGAGUUAUUAUAGAAUCUACAGACCGGGUCUUCCCAACUCUGCAAGCCUUUAAGAACAGAAUUUUCCAGCAAGAAACAUAUUACUUCAAGAGGAGACAGUGAGACCAUACAGUCCUUAAGAGAACUCAUAAAAUGUCAAGGCUAGUAUUACACCCUGCCCAAUCACCUCUAUGUAACAGCUCAGACUUUGAGUACCAUGUAACGAAUACUUACAGGAAAUUCUUCAUAGUAAACUCAGAAUUAAAAAAAAUUCCUGAAUACUUUUAAGUAAUAACUAAAAUUUGAGAAAGCUUUUAUCGUAUAUGAUUGUGAGCAGAAUCAUGUGAAGAUGAGAUGUAUGAAUAGCCAGGUAGCCUUGCAUUUCUUAGGUUAUAUUUCUCUCUCUCUCUCUCUCUUAAUUCAGAGCUAUAAAACUCUAAGUGUUCUUUUGGUAUGAAAUAUCUCCACUGAGAUUACCUAUUUAUUGUUUUUG